UCGAGGAUCUUCCGCAAUGGGCGAAAGCCUGACGGAGCGACACCGCGUGCAGGAUGAAGGCCUUCGGGUUGUAAACUGCUGUCACGCUCUAGGAAUCCCCUACGGUAAAUAGUCGUAGGGUUGACUAAAGCGAGAGGAAGCACCGGCUAACUCUGUGCCAGCAGCCGCGGUAAGACAGAGGGUGCAAACGUUGUUCGGAAUCACUGGGCAUAAAGGGCGCGUAGGCGGCAUGACAAGUCACUUGUGAAAUCUCUGGGCUUAACCCAGAACGGCCAAGUGAUACUGUCGCGCUAGAGUGCAGAAGGGGCAAUCGGAAUCCUUGGUGUAGCGGUGAAAUGCGUAGAUAUCAAGAGGAACACCUGAGGU
rnacentral:rRNA from 1 species